rnacentral:rRNA from 1 species
GAUGAACGCUGGCGGCGUGCCUAAUACAUGCAAGUCGAGCGAACAGACGAGGAGCUUGCUCCUCUGACGUUAGCGGCGGACGGGUGAGUAACACGUGGAUAACCUACCUAUAAGACUGGGAUAACUUCGGGAAACCGGAGCUAAUACCGGAUAAUAUAUUGAACCGCAUGGUUCCAUAGUGAAAGACGGUUUUGCUGUCACUUAUAGAUGGAUCCGCGCCGCAUUAGCUAGUUGGUAAGGUAACGGCUUACCAAGGCAAUGAUGCGUAGCCGACCUGAGAGGGUGAUCGGCCACACUGGAACUGAGACACGGUCCAGACUCCUACGGGAGGCAGCAGUAGGGAAUCUUCCGCAAUGGGCGAAAGCCUGACGGAGCAACGCCGCGUGAGUGAUGAAGGUCUUCGGAUCGUAAAACUCUGUUAUUAGGGAAGAACAAAUGUGUAAGUAACUAUGCACGUCUUGACGGUACCUAAUCAGAAAGCCACGGCUAACUACGUG